AUUCCAGCUCCAAUAGCGUAUAUUAAAGUUGUUGCAGUUAAAAAGCUCGUAGUUGGAUUUCUGGCGGGAGCGGCCUGUCCUGCCCUUUGCGGGGUUGAGCACAAGCGCUGCAUCCGGCCAUCCUUGUGGAGAGCGUUUCUGGCAUUCAGUUGUCGGACUCGGGAUCCGCAUCGUUUACUGUGAAAAAAUUAGAGUGUUUAAAGCAGGCAUUUGCUUGAAUACAUUAGCAUGGAAUAAUAAGAUAGGACUUAGUCGUUAUUUUGUUGGUCUUGCACGUCUAGGUAAUGAUUAAUAGGGAUAGUUGGGGGUAUUCAUAUUUAAUUGUCAGAGGUGAAAUUCUUGGGUUUAUGAAAGAUGAACUUAUGCGAAAGCAUUUACCAUGGAUGUUUUCAUCA
rnacentral:rRNA from 1 species